GUCUUUCUCGAAAAUAACUUUCAUUCUCACACCGUGCCCAUGUUUCAUCUUCUUCUUGACCAGAAUCACUGCGAGCAUGGUGGCGACGGUACUGGUGCGGCCAGCUCCACUCUCCACUCCUUCUUCUUCUUCUGCACCUUCGUCAAACGGUUGAAGCUGUCGUCAUCCAGCUCUCCUUCAUCGACGACAGUAGUUGCUUCUGGCCUGACCGGCAUCGUUGUGAGCUCCCUCCCUUUCUUCAUUCGAUUUUUUCAUCUGGUGGGAGGGGUUUUGCUCUUCCUUCUUCAUUCUUCCCAAAUCUGGUUCCCUAUGAAGGAUCUAGCGAGGCGUGUCACCGCAUUCGGUAUCGGUCAGAGUAAUCGUCGUGCGAUGCAACAUAGGCUCAACAUCAAUCACGUGGGAAAGUGAAGAUAAAGAUAUCAAAGAAGGAGUUGGCAUAACUUUAUGAGAAGCAACACCCGAGAGCUUCUGCAGAACAAGUUCUGCUUCGCUUGAUAAAAGCCAGAAAUGAUGUUAAAGUAAAGGCCCUGUAUAACGAGCUUAAUCUUAAGAGAUAAGGCGUUUCUAUGGGGUGGAGCAUGGUGGGGGAUAUGAUGCUUGGAGAAAAACUUCAGCUUUAGCUACCCCUUUUGAUUUUGACAAAGCACAAUCCACAAAGCCAAAAGGUCAUUGUGUGGCUGUGCGAGUGACUAGUGAGGACCCCGAUGAUGGCUUUAAGCCUACGAGUGGCAAAGUGCAGGAGCUUAGCUUUAAAAGCAAGCCAAAUGUGUGGGCAUACUUCUCUGUCAAGGUAUUUGAAAAAGGAAGCAUAUCAAAUGAUGGAAAAAAUGAAGAAGUACCAAAUGACGAAGACAAUGAAAAAGUAUCAAAUGAUGAAGACAAUUGAAGAAGUACAAAACUAUAAUUAUUAUUCAUAACA